rnacentral:rRNA from 1 species
GACGAACCGUGCGAACGUUGUUCGGAUUCACUGGGCUUAAAGGGCGCGUAGGCGGGUGGUCAAGUCAGAGGUGAAAUCCUCCAGCUUAACUGGAGAAGUGCCCCUGUUACUGGCCAUCUCGAGGGAGGUAGGGGCAUGUGGAACUUCCGGUGGAGCGGUGAAAUGCGUAGAUAUCGGAAGGAACGCCGGUGGCGAAAGCGACGUGCUGGACCUCUUCUGACGCUGAGGCGCGAAAGCCAGGGGAGCAAACGGG